CACGUAGGGCGCAAGCGUUGUCCGGAAUUAUUGGGCGUAAAGAGCUCGUAGGCGGUUUGUCGCGUCUGCUGUGAAAACCCGAGGCUCAACCUCGGGCCUGCAGUGGGUACGGGCAGACUAGAGUGCAGUAGGGGAGACUGGAAUUCCUGGUGUAGCGGUGGAAUGCGCAGAUAUCAGGAGGAACACCGAUGGCGAAGGCAGAUCUCUGGGCCGUAACUGACGCUGGAGGAGCGGAAAGCAUUGGGGGAGCAAACAGG
rnacentral:rRNA from 1 species